UUUUUUGGUUUGCACGAGACGGUUGACACAAUGAUCUGAAGUUUAAACUGCCAUAUUCUACUGUCCGCUGCGAGAUCUUGGCUGGAAUGUAAAAGGAAUAUCCAAAAUAUUUAAAUGACAAACAGGAUGGGAACUGAUUAUGAGGAAUAUGCUGAAACAGACAUCUGGCAUAUUCCUAUAAUCAGUAUCAUGGCCUUUGUAUACAACAAAAUUGAUUGGAACUCCUAGACUAGAAAUAUAAUUCAAGAUUUAAAUAAGGCACUGGUCAUAGUUUUAGAAAGUGUGGCUAGCAUUCUGAAGGAAGACAGAGAGAUGGGAAGACAUCAAAGAAUGGACAGGUCUGCCAUGAAAUGGUUUAUCCAGGGCUAAGUACAGAGAGGAAUAUAGAAGGGCUGUUGACAGAUCUUGUGUGGUGCCCCCAAGGUUCAACAGACUGAUUGAUAGGUAAUGGUAAGAAUUUAAUGUAUUUUGUAAAAAAAUGGUGUUAAUUACAUAAAGGGACUUAAUCAGUCUUUUUUUAUUUCCAGAA